ensembl:lncRNA
AUGUUAAACGUCCUGUUGGAGCUGGAGAGAAGCGCUGAGGCACAGAAAGAGGAGGGACCUCGAGAGUGAGACAGAGAGAGAAAGAGAGAGAGAGACUGUGUGAGAGCGGCAGAGUAUGUAACGCGAGUGCAAGCGAGAGAGGGGCAGAGAGCGAGAGAGACAGAGGAGAAAGUGAGAAACGGUGUUGAGAGGCAGCAGUGUGCAUGUUGCCAGAGGGAGAGAGAACGAGAGAGGCAGAGUGAUAGAAACACACACAGUGUGUGAGAGUGAGGACAGGCAGAGAUUGUGUGUAGAGCAAGUCGGAGAGAGAGAAAGAGGGAGUGCAAUAGAAAGAGAGAGGCUCAGAGAGAGAGAGAGAGAGAGUGAGAGAGAGAGAGGGCGAUCGCUGUUCUGCUCAGUUGUCACACCGAGCAGAGGGCUGCAUUGUGGAUGUAAACUUUAUCGUGGGUGGGAUCAGUGGCUUGCAGCAGCUGCUGUGCAGUGCAGCGUGCAGCAGGAUUACCAUGUGAGUCAGCUGAAGACCGAACACCAGGAUGCAUCACCUCAGGCAUGGGAGAAACUGGCCGUGGCUCGCCUGCAGAGGGAAGUCGCACGAAGCAAAAGCGAAGGAACAAUGGUACUGUUGAUGCUCUGUCUUACACACAGACACACCACACACACACAUUAUCAGUCUUAAACCCACAGCCCACAGUUGUAGGCAUGCCAGUCCUGCUCGGUCAUCGACCAAGGUCACUGCACUGCUAACUUUCCUCAACCAAAAACAUAUAUUUACGUUGGGUCUUGCAGCACUAUUCCGGGUGGCAAUUCUAGGUCUUGCUCCCAUCGCCAUGGUAUUAUCAACCCAUAUUAUGGCUCAUUAGUGCUGCAGAUUUCAGGGAUGACGUCAAAUGUAGCGCUUAAACACACACACACACAGACACACACACACACAGACACACACAGCGGUUGUAUAACAAGGGGAAAGCAGACCAGGGAGCCAGUCGUGCUGACGCAGAGGGCGUGAGGUAGGGUUCGCAGUGAGUGGACUGACAGUGUGACAGAGCAGAUACCAGCUGACCACGGUCUCUAGAGCGACAGCCAGGCCUUGGACUCAGCUGUUUAGAACCGCAGUAAAGCCCCAAAUAGCUUCAUAAAAGAGCGCUAUGGCAGCAAUCCUAAAGCAGACUUGAGAUUUACAUACUCUAGGAUCACCAUAUCUACAAUGCUUUUUCGUGGUGGUAGUGGUCUCGAGUUCCAGCCUGGGCUCGUAACAUUAAAACACAGUAGGACAGACAUGGAUAUGAACAACACUAUAUACUGUAUAGAGUGGCAAGCAUACGCAUCAUGACAAUGGCCGCAUACUGUACAUAGCCUUCUUUGUAUAGAUGGUCCUGUAUGGCUCAGUUGGUAGAGCAUGGUGCUUGCACUGCCAGGGUUGUGGGUUUGAUUCCCACAUGGGACCAGUAUGAAAAUGUAUGCACUUAUUGCUGUAAGUUGCUCUGGAUAAAAACAUUCGCUAAAUGACGAUGUCGAUGGUAAGAGAAAUGUUUCCUGGAAGCCCCCCAUGGAGUCUUUGGAAAAGACUUGGAUGUUAGUUUGUGACUGUGAAGAACGACCUACCCAGUGUAUUGAUUUCUGCAAUGCGGUUCCUGAGGCAUGCUGUAGCUGUCUGCAAGGUCAGACGUGACCAUGCAAUCAGAGUCACAUGUGUCUUAACACAGUGCAGGCUCUCGCUGUUGAGGCUCACUGUAGCAAAUUCCAUACAGUCCCAGCACAAGAGAAGGAAGUUCCCACAUAGCUCUUAUCUCAGGCUCCAUUGGGAAACUCUGUGUGUCAGCACCUCGUCCUGUAGUCAGUCAGACUAAGAGACUGAUUAGCCUCUGACCUUAGUGAAGAGCUAGGAGGGAAAUAUCUACUGCCUGGCUGAGCGAGGCUUUCUCUGACUACUGCUUCUUCGAGUCAUGAGAGUGGAUGCCAUGCUAAUUACAACUCCGGGUGUGUUUGUGAGGAAAGGGGGGUGGAGGAGGGAUGAGUUAUCUAUGCCAGACAGGAGGAGGGGAAGGGAGUGGUAAAAGAAGAAUGUGGGGUGUGUGUGUGUCUCUCUGAGCUCCAUUUUGAAAUUGGGAUUAUCCCUCCUCUCACACACACAUGCCUGGGAGAUGCUCCUCUCCUCUGGGAGCUCAGGCAUGGUCUUUAGGGUCUUUAAUAGAAAUCAAACCAGAGGGCUGCAUCAGGGAGAUAAUUGUUAAUGUGAUGGCAAGGUGAAAUAGAGAGUAACCUCCUCACACACAGACAAGUAAUGAUAUACAGAUACCAACACAGACACACACACAGCCUCCAGAAGACGACAGAUGAAAUGCUGUAGACUUUGAAGUGUGCAUCUCUGACCCUCCUCUUUAACUAGUUAUGCUCUCUUCUCUGUGGCGGGAGG